GAUGAACGCUGGCGGCGUGCCUAAUACAUGCAAGUCGAGCGGACGGACGAGAAGCUUGCUUCUCUGAUGUUAGCGGCGGACGGGUGAGUAACACGUGGAUAACCUACCUAUAAGACUGGGAUAACUUCGGGAAACCGGAGCUAAUACCGGAUAAUAUUUUGAACCGCAUGGUUCAAAAGUGAAAGACGGUCUUGCUGUCACUUAUAGAUGGAUCCGCGCUGCAUUAGCUGGUUGGUAAGGUAACGGCUUACCAAGGCAACGAGGCAUAGCCGACCGGAGAGGGGGAGCCGCCACACUGGAACUGAGACACGGUCCAGACUCCUACGGGAGGCAGCAGUAGGGAAUCUUGCGCAAUGGGCGAAAGCCUGACGGAGCAACGCCGCGUGAGUGAUGAAGGUCUUCGGAUCGUAAAACUCUGUUAUGUGGGAAGAACAUAUGUGUAAGUAACUGUGCACAUCUUGACGGUACCUAAUCAGAAAGCCACGGCUAACUACGUG
rnacentral:rRNA from 1 species